ACUAGCAGUAAGAGUUUGAUCAUGGCUCAGAACGAACGCUGGCGGCACGCCUAACACAUGCAAGUCGAACGAGACCUUCGGGUCUAGUGGCGGCACGGGUGCGUAACGCGUGGGAAUCUGCCCUUGGUUCGGGAUAACAGUUGGAAACGACUGCUAAUACCGGAUGAUGACUUCGGUCCAAAGAUUUAUCGCCCAGGGAUGAGCCCGCGUCGGAUUAGCUAGUUGGUGAGGUAAAGGCUCACCAAGGCGACGAUCCGUAGCUGGUCUGAGAGGAUGAUCAGCCACACUGGGACUGAGACACGGCCCAGACUCCUACGGGAGGCAGCAGUGGGGAAUUUUGGACAAUGGGCGAAAGCCUGAUCCAGCGAUGCCGCGUGGGUGAAGAAGGCCUUCGGGUUGUAAAGCCCUUUCGGCAGGGAAGAAAAGUCCGAAGCUAAUACCUUCGGGUCUUGACGUUACCUGCGGAAGAAGCACCGGCUAACUCCGUGCCAGCAGCCGCGGUAAUAC
rnacentral:rRNA from 1 species